GAUGAACGCUGGCGGCGUGCCUAAUACAUGCAAGUCGAGCGAAUGGAUUAAGAGCUUGCUCUUAUGAAGUUAGCGGCGGACGGGUGAGUAACACGUGGGUAACCUGCCCAUAAGACUGGGAUAACUCCGGGAAACCGGGGCUAAUACCGGAUAACAUUUUGAACUGCAUGGUUCGAAAUUGAAAGGCGGCUUCGGCUGUCACUUAUGGAUGGACCCGCGUCGCAUUAGCUAGUUGGUGAGGUAGCGGCUCACCAAGGCAACGAUGCGUAGCCGACCUGAGAGGGUGAUCGGCCACACUGGGACUGAGACACGGCCCAGACUCCUACGGGAGGCAGCAGUAGGGAAUCUUCCGCAAUGGACGAAAGUCUGACGGAGCAACGCCGCGUGAGUGAUGAAGGCUUUCGGGUCGUAAAACUCUGUUGUUAGGGAAGAACAAGUGCUAGUUGAAUAAGCUGGCACCUUGACGGUACCUAACCAGAAAGCCACGGCUAACUACGUGCCAGCCGCCGCAGUAAGAC
rnacentral:rRNA from 1 species